UACGGGGGGGCAAGCGUUGUUCGGAAUUACUGGGCGUAAAGGGCUCGUAGGCGGCCAACUAAGUCAGACGUGAAAUCCCCGAGCUCAACUCGGGAACUGCGUCCGAUACUGGCGGGCUUGAAUCCGGGAGAGGGAUGUGGAAUUCCAGGUGUAGCGGUGAAAUGCGUAGAUAUCUGGAGGAACACCGGUGGCGAAGGCGGCAUCCUGGACCGGCAUUGACGCUGAGGCGCGAAAGCUAGGGGAGCAAACGGG
rnacentral:rRNA from 1 species